rnacentral:rRNA from 1 species
UACGUAGGUGGCAAGCGUUGUCCGGAAUUAUUGGGCGUAAAGCGCGCGCAGGCGGUCCUUUAAGUCUGAUGUGAAAGCCCACGGCUCAACCGUGGAGGGUCAUUGGAAACUGGGGAACUUGAGUGCAGGAGAGGAAAGUGGAAUUCCAAGUGUAGCGGUGAAAUGCGUAGAGAUUUGGAGGAACACCAGUGGCGAAGGCGACUUUCUGGUCUGUAACUGACACUGAGGCGCGAAAGCGUGGGGAGCAAACAGG